AAUAUUUUUCUCCCGGUGCUGGACGGCCGAUCCGAAGGAAAAGCUGGAAAUAAGUUCAUUGGUUUUCCUUUUGCUCCCUUUCCUUGCCCUAAUUUUUAUUUUCCUGGCAGCUGGCGGGAGGAAGGGAGCUGGCAAGGAUGAAAUGGAAUUUGCAGACGACUUCCCCGGCCGCCCACGAGCGCUGGGGCUCUGCGGCCAGGAGCAGGACGGGUCCCCCCAGGACACACAGGCGUCCACCGAGGAGCAGGACGGGUCCCCCCAGGACACACAGGCGUCCACCGAGGAGCAGGACGGGUCCCCCCAGGACACACGGGUGCCCACCAAGGAGCAGGACGGGUCCCCCCAGGACACACGGGCGUCCACCGAGGAGCAGGACGGGUCCCCCCAGGACACACGGGUGCCCACCAAGGAGCAGGACGGGUCCCCCCAGGACACACGGGCGUCCACUGAGGAGCAGGACGGGUCCCCCUGGGACACAUGGGUGCCCACCGAGGGAGCGCAGGGCUGGGGGCUUUAUUUUUUCCCCCAUUUGGGUCAGAAAAUAAUCAUUUUAGCUCCUAACGUGCUGGUGCUGUGCUCCCCAGCACACAGAGGGAAGGUCCAGCCCAGCAGACCACAGCCCAGCACGGCCGGCGCCAGCACCCUGUUGGGGACCCCCCCAUCCCCACGGUGGGGCAGGAUCCGUCCCCAGCUGCCCAACCUGGGAUGGCUCCUUUCGCCUCUUCCCUCUUAAUUUUGUUUAGAAACUUGUCAGGUUGGUACAUAAAGGAGGUGGAAAGAUCAAUCCCGGCUUUUCAUCAGUGUGGGAAAAAGUAUUUCACUAAUCCAUAUUUAUUGGUGUAAGGAGCCGGGGGGGGGAGGGCAAGAGACCCUAAUGGUCAGGAGCAAAGGACAGAAGGGACAGUUUAAGGCUGCCCUUUUUGGAGAGGUCACAUGUCACCAAAAUCUUUCGGUUGUCUCGGGAUUGGUUACAUUCUGUUCUCUUUUUUUCUAUUGAGGUUGCCAAGCAACUGGCUAAGACCAGCCAAGAUAUUUUCUUUAUUACAAGUGGAGCAGAAAGCAGCAAGGAGAAGAGAGAUUAAAAAAAAAAAAAAAAGGUGGGGGAGAGAAGAGAAGAAGUUUAGACAAUUAACAUUUAUAGGAUCACAUAACUUCAUUAACUUGGCCAAGAUUUGGGAAAGAGACUUUGAAAAAAGAAGAACCACGAAAGUGUGUGUGUGGGAGCAUCAGGAAUUAAAGCAAGUUGAAAGGCUGGCAGGUCCAGGGCUGAAACAAUGCGGGAGCACCCGGGAGCGCUGCAGCCACGGGGGUUUCCCGCGAUGGCUCCCGCUUCCCCAGGAGCCGCCGGGUCCCUGGCGAUGGCUUCAGCGCGGGGGCCUUCGGCUCCUGCUGAUGCUCUUUUAUUUAAUGAUGCCUUUCUUUUGAUUUUCACACUCCUAGCAAUGGGUUUAUUGCUCUCAGAGCUGGCAGGGAGGUGUGGGGAGGCGUGUGACCAUGGCACGAGCUGGGCAUCCCCCUGGCCCGGCCGUGGGGUGUGGGCUGCAGGGACAUGGCUGUCCCCAAGCCCUGGGACACGUUUGUGCCUUUGCGGGUGUGCAAAACCUUCUGAGGCCAAGAAUGAGCCCCCGUGGAUGAGCAGCCCUUGGUCACAGAUCCCUGCUCCGUUGGUUCCUGCUCAGAGCUCUGGCCUAACCCCUGCCUUGGGCUGUCCCCUGCCCCAGGCCUGGCCCUGCCGCGGGUAGGGGACGUUGCUGCAGGCUGAGGACAGGGAUCGGGGUCACUGAGCAGCUCCCCAGGGCUGGGCUGCUCCGAGCAUCAUUGAGACCGCAGGAGUUUCUCACCCAACAUGACCCGAUCCCUCUCCCCACAUGGCUGGACCCCAUGCGAGGACACGGGGGGAGGUGAGGAGGUGCAGGGACCCCCCCCGGGGACAGUCCCCAGCCCCUGCACACCCCCACCAGUCUCCCCCUGGUUCUGCUCAGGGACCCCAGUGGGUGUCACUGGGGCGACAGGCAGCAAUGGGCUGAAGGCAGGGGCCAGCCCCACGCUCUUCCCCACGACUGCGGGGACCCCCGGCAGCCGGGGCUGGGGGGUCCCCGGGUGGGCAGAGGCAGGCGAUCCACCCGCUCCCCCGGCCGGAGCCCGCAGCUGCCGGCCCUGCAAGUCGGUAAUAUUCAUUAGGGGAAAACAAUGAGUAUUAUUUAUUCCCAGCUCUUUCCCUGUCGUGGGGGGCCGGGGUGGGGUGCAGGUGACCUCGUACCCCACGGGGGAUCCCUGCAGUGCCACCCCCGCGGCAGCAGGACAUGGGGGGGAUCCCCAAAGGGGGACCGGGGGGUGGGAGGGGACCCCAGCCCCAGGCCUGCCCAGCGGCUUGUGGGGGAUCCCCACAACCCCGAGUGGGGCCAAGCCCGGACGUCCCCGGGACCGGGCACCGAGACCCCGAGCCAGGGCUCACCCCGGGCCCCGAGCACCGCGACCAGGCGGGUGCGGGGGCUCCGGGCCGGGCCGUAGCGGGCCGGGGGCUGGGGUUUGGGAGCUGUGUCUUUAAGAGAUGGCUGGCUCCAGGUUGCAGCUGCUGUUUCUGUGCUAUAGAGACAGUGGAGAUUCAUUACUCCUAAAACACAAUGGGCAUUUAUCACCCCGUGGUGUUAUUCAAAUCCAGUACCAAUUGAAGGUCAUCCCCAUUCUUUUCUCGCCGGCUCUGCAACACAUUUAUUGUUGUGCCGUUCAACUAAAAGCCCUGCCCGGCCCCGGCGCAGCCCGCAGAGCCCCGGUGUGCGCAUCCCUCCCGGGCGGAUUUGGGACCCUCCCGGGUGGAUACGGCGUGGACGAAGAGGGGCAGAGCCGGCUUGGCUCGGCUGGGCUCCGGCCCGGCGGCAGGUGCAGCGGUAACCCCGCCGUUGUGCCCCGCCGAGCCGCGGGGGCCGCCCGCUCCGCCCCCGCGGGACGCACUUUCCGCGCCCCGUGGAAACUCGGAGCCCAGCGGGCCGCCGGGGCGGAGGGCGGCUCGGGCAGCCGGGGGUCCGCCGCUCGCCCGCCCUGAACCCUCCCCCGGGGGGACCCGAUCGGCCACCGGCACCGGCGGGGGGAAGCGCCGGCAGCGGGUCGGGAUUUUCCCUGGCUGGAGAGGGGGGAUUUGUUCCCAACUUCGUGGGAGCCGGUCGGUGAGAAGGGACUGGGGGAGAAGCCUGGAUUUUUCCUCUUUUUCUUUUAUUUUUUAUUAUCAUCAAUAUUUUUCCCCUCUCCGUUGGGCGUUUAUAAAUUUCGGCGAUUUUUCAAAGUGCCCGAAUUUUGAGGGCGAUUCGCUUGGAAUUGGUUAAUUCUCCGAGGCAGGAGCGGCGGCCGCAGCGCGGGGCUGGGGGUCUGCGCCCGCAUCCCCACGGCAUCACCCCCGCCGAGCCCCCGGGGCUGCCGGGGGCACCGAGCCCCGCGGCCCCGCCGCACAGAACCCCCGCUCCGCCGGGGCUGCUCCGCCGCGGCUGGAACGCCGGUUUUCGUUUUCUGGCUUUUUUUCUUUUUCUUUUUUUUUUUUUUUGGUUUCCUUUCUAUUUCGCCUGAUUUUUUUUCCCCCACUCUCUUUUAUUUUAUUUUAUUUUAAUAAGGGCUACAUUUUAUUUAUUUUUUUUCGGAGGUGUAGGAAACGAGUUGAUAAAAUCAAACCCCUCGCGGUGCGAUUAAAUCGAAACGGGGAUGCGAAGCGCCGCGGCUGCUCUAGAAACUUAUUGCGGCCGGAGAAGCGGCUCCGCAGGGCCGGGGAGCGGGCGGAGGGGAGCCGGCUCGGUGCCCCCCGUGUAUCCUUGUUUUCCAGGCUCCAGCCCGAUUCCCCCUGGAAGAUCCCGCGAGCCCGGGACGGGAAUCUCCGCUCCUGAUUGUCCAAACGCAAUUCUUGUGCGAUGGAGCCGUACGAACCAAGAAUUGUGUCUGGACAUCUGUAGCAGAGAUUUCAGCUCCUCCGGCUGGGCUCCAGGAAGGUGCUUUGGGGCGGAGGAAGAAGGACGGACCUUCUUCGGGCACGGCGAGGUAACGGCCCGGGGAACCUCAGAGGGGAUUUCAAGGAAACUAAAUAAAUAGCGGCGGGUGCUCCGCACCGCUCAGCGCUGCCGGGGGGGGUCAAAUAAUGCGUCAAAUAUCGGCCGGGUCCUCACCGGGACGGGCAGGGAUGGAGGGGCCGAGCCGGAGUCUCCGGCGCUUCGCCGGGGCGGGAGCCGAGCGCGGCGGGCUGGCGCCCCGGCCUUUCGGCUCCAUCCCGGUUUAUCCUGCUGGUAUGUAUUUAUUUAUUUUUAAAUUGCUUUUUAAUUUCGUUGAAUUUAUUUCGGCGUGCGCCCGGGCCUGGAGCACGACCGGGAUCCCUGUGCACCGGGGGCCGAGGUCCCCGCCGGCCGGGACGCCCUCAUCCUCCACCUGCCGCGGCUCCCGGUUCGCCCCGGGCGCAUGGAGGCCGCUCCGGGUCUCCGCCGAGCCGGGAACCGUCCCCGCCGCUCGGGCACCAGGCAGGCUCGGCGGAGAGCGGCCCAACCGCGGGCUCCUCCGGCCGAGGGCUGCGGGGUCGGUCUCACCGCCGCUCCGGCGCUUGGAGGGGACUCGGUGGGAGCGGAGCUGAGGGCUUGGAGCAGCCCCGCGGAGCCAGGGCCGGGAGGAAGGCUCGGAACAGAGAGGCUUUAUGCCUGUACAAGACGAGGCUCGGCAGGGGCUGCCAAGGAAAGCCGUGAGGAGGAGGGAAGCAUUAUAAGAUCUGAGCAAAAUUUCACCGAGAGCUUGAGGCAGAGAAUGUUUUAAAAGGCUUUUAUUUCAGAAACUUUUUGUUGUUGGUGUUGGUUUUGUUGUUGUUACAGGAUUUUGCUGAACCCCUCUUAUCCCCUCCCCUGGCUUCCCUCAUCUUCCCAUUUCUAGAUUUUUUUAGCAAUGAUUGGCAGCUUUUACUACAGCAGGAGCGGAGUCAUCUGGGUCUACCUGGGCUAGCGAGGGGAGUAACACCUCCCAGGGAAGGAACUCAUCCUACCGUGAGCAAACAGCUGGGGGGGAUAAGAACAGACAAGCCCAGCCUAAGGCAAAAAUGCAGCAGAGGCCGGGCAGGCAGCAGCGAUGAAGAUGAACCUGCCUUUUCCCACUUGGGUUUAAGUCCAUUCCAAGCUGCAUACCACGCAGGUUUGUUGUUUUUUAGCCAGCUCCUAUCAUCACCUGGAAUCCCCCCCCCGCUCCCCCAGCCCAGCAAAACUUAUGGCCGUGAACUCCAGACAGAGAAGAGCUGUUGGCCCAUCCGUGUCAUUUACAAACGGCACAAGCUGGACUCGAGUCGCAGCAGCUGGAUUUGGAAAAGGCUGAAUAUCGGUUCGUUACCAGCAGCGUGCUCGGAAGUCAGGGUUCCUCUGAUGCAGCGGCAUUGUAGUCUGUGGGCGCUUUUAGUUACGCAGGUUGUGGUGGGGUAAACGUGAGAGAGGAGUCACCGGAGAAGUCAGACAGGGGAAUUACUCGUUGGCACUCUGUCCGCAUCAGACAGAGUAACUCCUCUGCCAGGCGCAGGACGGGAAAGGCUCCUUGGACGGAGCUCUGGGGGUGUCAGGCCAGGCCGCCCGAGCAGGGGCUGGUGCACAGCUCACCGCUCCCCAGCUCCUCCUCGGCAGCUCCCGCAGGCUGCGGACAGGGCGAGAAUGCGAGAGCAGAUCGGCUCCGAGACGCACCAACAGAAUUUAUGGCGCCAGCAAGCCCUCUGCCCCGGGAGAGCCGCUGCUCGGGCUGCGGUGCUGCCGCUGGGACCACCACGUGCCGCCGGAGCCGUGCCGAAACGCAGGAGUUCACCCGCCGUGUAACGUUGAGAUGAAAAGCACAUUAUCCUGGUCCUGGAGUUUAUAAUCCAGCUCACCCUGCAGGCCAAGAAAAAAAAAGAAAAAUGGUUUAAAUGUCAUUUCCAAAUACUAACUGCAAAGAGAAAACUGCUCAUAAAAAGAUGGUGAGUGUUAGGGAGAGCAGAAGGGGACAGACUAAUGUUUUCAUCCUGAUGGAAGCGAAGGUGAGAGAUCAGACACGGAGCUGAUGCUCAUUUCCCACACUGCUUUCUGGACCAGGGUUUUGCCAGAGCAGGUGGUUGCCUGAGGCAGGAAAAUAGUUUGGGGCCGUUUGUUGUCUGAGAGCAACUGUGGGCUGAAAAGGGAAGAUAUUUACCAGUUGCCUGUUUGGGCAGAAAUCUCCCCGGGGCUGCAUUCCCCUGCACCCCAGCACAGGGGUCUCCCUGGGACAGAGAAGCUGCUUGGUCCCCACUAAGUUGUCACCCCAUGCAUGGGGGAGACCUGUGAGACAGCCGGAGGUGCGAAGCCCAUUGCCGGAGGCGAGGGAAUCCAGGGGAUCUCUCUUCAGAGCUGGCUGGCUGCUGAGACUCAGCAGGUUAGAGAAAGGCUCCAGGCUACUGAACAGCCACAGCACAAGGCAGGGAGAGAGAUCCCAGCCUGCCCCUUCCCCCUCAAACACAAGAUGCUUCGCUCUGGGGCAAGAAUCAGAAAGAGCUUCUCUGAGAGCAACCACAGAACAGACAGAGCAUAUUUUCAACAAAGAAAGUGAAACUGAAGGAGUACAGACCAUUAGUUCCCAGUCUGCGUCGUUGAUGAGCACCAAAAUUCCUGGCCUCCUGCAGAACAGAGAGAAAUAAUUAGGAUACGGGGCUGCUAAAAAGCUUCACAAAUAGUUAAGAACAAGGGAUGUUACAGCACAGAUCACAAGCUGCCUGCCUGUAAAGCCAAAGAGAAAAAGACAUCCUGGCAUGGAGGUGGAAACAGGUACAGUCUGUGCCCUUUCUAGAUCGAAUAAAGGGGAAGCAGGAGCAAUCCCAAAGCUCAUUUGAAUCAAAAUGCACCAUUCCUGAGGAUGCUCCGAGAUGACGACAUGAGAUGACUACAUUUCCGUAUGAUGUAGAAAAGACAGGUAAUUAAAACCCACGCGCUAGAGUCAAGCGCUGAGAGCUCAAUGAGAAGGUAGGGAAAGCUAUUCCAGUGCCCCUACCCAGGGCGGUAAACGCCUGGGAUCCACUCUGAGCCCCUGAUUACAGGCACAGGGAUUCCCCCUCUUUGAUCUUCAGUGUCCUGCAAUCGUCUCUCCUGUUACCAGGGGACCUGGCACACGCUUCAGCUCACAAAGAUCCGUGACGAAUGUUAAACACCCCCAGCGCCGCCCCGCAGCCAGGGAUGGCUUGCACAGCUCACUCUGCUCCAUUUCUCUUGGCCUUUUUUAUUUUCCCCCCCUGCUCCAUGAGGUUGGCCCCAUUUUGACAAUAAAAAUACAUUUCCCAGAAGAAA